UAUGGUAAUUGUGUGCCAGCCUCUUCUUUACUACGUAGGGGGCAAGCGUUAUCCGGAAUUACUGGGUGUAAAGGGUGCGUAGGUGGUAUGGCAAGUCAGAAGUGAAAACCCAGGGCUUAACUCUGGGACUGCUUUUGAAACUGUCAGACUGGAGUGCAGGAGAGGUAAGCGGAAUUCCUAGUGUAGCGGUGAAAUGCGUAGAUAUUAGGAGGAACAUCAGUGGCGAAGGCGGCUUACUGGACUGAAACUGACACUGAGGCACGAAAGCGUGGGGAGCAAACAGG
rnacentral:rRNA from 1 species